UACGUAGGGGGCCUAGCGUUGUCCGGAAUUAUUGGGCGUAAAGGGCUCGUAGGCGGUCCAUCGCGUCGGGAGUGAAAAGCUGGGGCUUAACCCCAGUCCUGCUUCCGAUACGGGUGGACUAGAGGUAGGUAGGGGAGAACGGAAUUCCUGGUGUAGCGGUGAAAUGCGCAGAUAUCAGGAGGAACACCGGUGGCGAAGGCGGUUCUCUGGGCCUGUACUGACGCUGAGGAGCGAAAGCGUGGGGAGCGAACAGG
rnacentral:rRNA from 1 species